rnacentral:tRNA from 1 species
GCCUUCAUAAUUCAAUGGUAGAAUGCCGGACUUUUAAUCCGGUAACCCAGGUUCGAUCCCUGGUGAUGGCU